UACGUAGGUCCCGAGCGUUGUCCGGAUCUAUUGGGCGUAAAGCGAGCGCAGGUGGUUUAUUAAGUCUGGUGUAAAAGGCCGUGGCUCAACCAUUGUAUGCAUUGGAAACUGGUAGACUUGAGUGCAGGAGAGGAGAGUGGAAUUCCAUGUGUAGCGGUGAAAUGCGUAGAUAUAUGGAGGAACACCGGUGGCGAAAGCGGCUCUCUGGCCUGUAACUGACACUGAGGCUCGAAAGCGUGGGGAGCAAACAGG
rnacentral:rRNA from 1 species